rnacentral:rRNA from 1 species
CCUACGGGGGGCAGCAGUGGGGAAUAUUGCACAAUGGGCGAAAGCCUGAUGCAGCAACGCCGCGUGAGCGAUGAAGGCCUUCGGGUCGUAAAGCUCUGUCCUCAAGGAAGAUAAUGACGGUACUUGAGGAGGAAGCCCCGGCUAACUACGUGCCAGCAGCCGCGGUAAUACGUAGGGGGCUCGCGUUAUCCGGAAUUACUGGGCGUAAGGGGUGCGUAGGUGGUUUCUUAAGUCAGAGGUGAAAGGCUACGGCUCAACCGUAGUAAGCCUUUGAAAAUGGGAAACUUGAGUGCAGGAGAGGAGAGUGGAAUUCCUAGUGUAGCGGUGAAAUGCGUAGAUAUUAGGAAGAACACCAGUGGCGAAGGCGGCUUUCUGGACUGAAACUGACGCUGAGGCACGAAAGCGUGGGGAGUGAACAGGAUUAGAUACCCUAGUAGUC